CUGCUGCCUCCCGUAGGAGUCUGGACCGUGUCUCAGUUCCAGUGUGGGGGGCCUUCCUCUCAGAACCCCUACGCAUCGUCGCCACGGUGGGCCGUUACCCCGCCGUCAAGCUAAUGCGCCGCAUGCCCAGCCGCCACCGGAUUCCUCCUUUCGCCCGGACCGGAUGCCUGGUCCGGGCGGCAUGGGGUAUUAGGCCGGGUUUCCCCGGGUUAUCCCCCUGUGGCGGGCAGGUUCCAUACGUGUUACUCACCCGUGCGCCGGUCGCCGGCAGGUGCAGG
rnacentral:rRNA from 1 species